AAAGAUGUGCGGGCAUGCUUUCCACAGGCUUUCUUGAACUGUGAACUCGUGGGGGUGUAUGUGCUCAUGUUGGGAUUGUGGUCGGUGGCCUCCAAUUCUCUGAAAAGAAAGCUGAAUUGUCGAGCUCCCCGUUCUGUCUUUGGUCGUCUCUACCUGUUGAUGGUUCAAGAAAGCCCAUGGAAACCAUGCCGCGUCUUUGU
rnacentral:misc_RNA from 1 species